rnacentral:rRNA from 1 species
GUGUCAGCCGCCGCGGUAAUACGUAGGGGGCAAGCGUUGUCCGGAUUUACUGGGCGUAAAGAGCGUGUAGGCGGCCGCGCAGGUCCGUUGUGAAAACUGGAGGCUCAACCUCCAGCUGUCGACGGAAACCGUGUGGCUAGAGUCCGGAAGAGGAGAGUGGAAUUCCUGGUGUAGCGGUGAAAUGCGCAGAUAUCAGGAGGAACACCGGUGGCGAAGGCGGAUCUCUGGGCCUUACCUGACGCUCAGGUGCGAAAGCUAGGGGAGCGAACAGGAUUAGAUACCCUGGUAGUCCACGCCGUAAACGAUGGGCACUAGGUGUGGCGGGUAUCGACUCCCGCUGUGCCAAAGCUAACGCAUUAAGUGCCCCGCCUGGGGAGUACGGCCGCAAGGCUAAAACUCAAAUGAAUUGACGG